rnacentral:lncRNA from 1 species
CUUAAGGGGGCCUGGGGGAGGGAGGGGAGGAAUCCUCUCUGCAGGAUUUCCUCCGCCGUUGCUCUCACUGGCGAAGCGAAGGUAGUACGUGUUAAAGGAAGAAGUGUGAAAAUACUGCUGUGGACAUUCUGGAAGUGACACCUUCUGCGAGGAAUGUUCGAAGACUCUAGAAAAGAGAUGGUAUUUGGAGGGACCUGGAAAUCUUGAAGAUAUACAACACAUUAGUGCCAUUUAAAAAUAGCUUUUAGGGGGCCGGUCCCGUGGCCGAGUGGUUAAGUUUGGGUGCUCUGCUUCCGUGGCCCAGGGUCUCGCCGGUUCGGAUCCUGGGUGUGGACAUGGCACCGCUCAUCAGACCAUGCUGAGGUGGCAUCCCACAUGCUACAACUAGAAGGACCCACAACUAAAAAUAUACAACUAUGUACCG